rnacentral:rRNA from 1 species
UACGGAAGGCAGCAGUGGGAAAUAUUGCACAAUGGGCGCAAGCCUGAUGCAGCCAUGCCGCGUGUAUGAAGAAGGCCUUCGGGUUGUAAAGUACUUUCAGUCGUGAGGAAGGUGUUAAGGUUAAUAACCUUAGCAAUUGACGUUAGCGACAGAAGAAGCACCGGCUAACUCCGUGCCAGCAGCCGCGGUAAUACGGAGGGUGCGAGCGUUAAUCGGAAUUACUGGGCGUAAAGGGCACGCAGGCGGUUAAUUAAGUUGGAUGUGAAAUCCCCGGGCUUAACCUGGGAAUGGCAUUCAAGACUGGUUAGCUAGAGUCUUGUAGAGGGGGUAGAAUUCCAUGUGUAGCGGUGAAAUGCGUAGAGAUGUGGAGGAAUACCGGUGGCGAAGGCGGCCCCUGGGACAAAGACUGACGCUCAUGUGCGAAAGCGUGGGGAGCAAACAGGGAUUAGAUACC